GCUAAAUAGACCAGAGCCCCCGUAACGAUCCAGAUGGAUAUGACUGAGAUGAACGCCCCGAGGAUUUCUGCGGAGGGACAAGAGAGAGGGAGACGCAGGAAUACUUCUUCACUUUUAACAUAAAGAGUAAUAUGAGCGCUGUCUCUGACCUGAUCUGUGCCAACCAAAGUUCAUGGUCUUGGUGGGCGGCCUGGACGAGAUCCACAGGGAGAACAGGCUCACCAUCAUGCUGCCGAAAUCUGUGAGGAGGUGGGCGGCGUCCGUCAUGAUGGCCAGGCUGUGGGCCAGGUAGCCCCCUAAAAGAACAACCAGGAAAUAACUGACGUUAGGAAAUAUUUGCGUUCAUUUGCCGAGGGUUAGGGGUUCUGAGGGCUGAGCUUCCAAACUUUUACCUAUGACCUCGCCGAUCAUGAAGACGAGGCAGACGGCCGAGGCGAUGCAGAGCUUCUUCCUGGCCAGCAUCCUGUCCACGCCCUCGUCGCGCACCAGGGCCUUGGUGCCGUGGCAGUGGGCGCCGACGGGUCGCUUCAGCUCGAUGGCGCCGGCCAUGCCGCCGUUCUUGAAAGGGAAGUCGGGAUACUGCUCUUUGGAGUCCGGAAAGGCGCUGCAGAGAGAGACACGGGCAGUAAGUCUCAGGAGAUCACUGUGCCAGACAAGACAAGAGAUGGUCCGGGACUGAACCCCUGUAAAACCACAAACUGUCUGUGGCUGUCGGUCUGGUAUCUAUCGUCAACUGUCCAUAAAGAUGGAGGUCGUGACAGCUCCCCAAAAGGAAGGUCUAAAUGUGAGCAAGGAGCGAUGCCAGCUGGGGAAAAAACGCUAAAGCCCGAACGAGCUGAUGCUGAUGCUGAUGCUGAUGCUGAUGCUGCUGAUGAUGAUGAUGAUGCUGAUGAUGCCUAAUGACAGAUGAUGAGUUUUCUCAGCGCUGCUCAGUGAACUGGCCCCGGGGCCAUUUGUCACCGCCUGUCCACAAACGAGCCAAGCGUUGAAUUUGUUCAUUCGCAUAAAAAAAAAACAGCCCGGCGAGAGAGGGGGGGCAUGCUUAACAUGCACCACGGUAACAACGUUACACGUUACACACAACCUGCACAACGCAACACACACUUGCUUUUACUCCAUCUCCUGCAGACGUGCGCAAUGUUCACUUUUGCGCGUCUUUGGCGCUUAACAUCACAAUCGCCUCCUCCUCACCGGCCACUCAACUCGACGCAAUCCCCCAAAAAGUUUCUCCCACAAGCAAUUUUACCACACAAACGCCACAUAUGUGACAUUGUGCAGAGCAUUUUCUCUCUCCGUGCAGCUGCACUUAUGAUGUGCGCGACACGUGCCGCCGCUCCCACCUUUGCAGUUUCAGGGAAUACAUCUUGGCAUUCUUCUCGUGUAUCAGCUGAGAUUUCUCCGAAUUGGCGGCGUUAUUAUCCAUGGAU